UGUAAGUAUAGCACUCUAUAGAUUUUUGCUAUCUAACAUCCCACAAGCAGUAGACAACAUCCAGUUUUUUAGAGAAUUAAUGUCGAUCAUAUGCCAUAAUUCAUAUUUUACAUACAAAGGAAGUUUUUACAGGUAAACUCUGGGAAUACAGAUUGGCAGCCCCAUGGCAGGCCCUUUAGUGAAGAUUGUGCUAAGGCAAUUAGAACCUCCAAUUAUAAAGAAAUUCAAACCCUUUAUGAAAUUUUAUAUAAGGUACAUUGUCAAUAUACUGGCCAUCUGGAAAAGUGAAGCUGAAAUAAAGAACCUGGAGGAGGAGUUUACUAUGCCAUUGUAUGGCCUUAAACUGAAGACAACACAGAAGCCUCAGCCAAGAGCAAACUUUUUAGAUAUUAACAUCAAUAUAAUGGGCAAUGGAA
rnacentral:lncRNA from 1 species